GAUGAAGAACGCAGCGAAAUGCGAUAAGUAAUGUGAAUUGCACAAUUCAGUGAAUCAUCGAAUCUUUGAACGCACAUUGCGCCCGCCAGUAUUCUGGCGGGCAUGCCUGUUCGAGCGUCAUUACAACCCUCAGGCCCCCGGGCCUGGCGUUGGGGAUCGGCGGAAGCCCCCUGCGGGCACAACGCCGUCCCCCAAAUACAGUGGCGGUCCCGCCGCAGCUUCCAUUGCGUAGUAGCUAACACCUCGCAACUGGAGAGCGGCGCGGCCACGCCGUAAAACACCCAACUUCUGAAUGUUGACCUCGAAUCAGGUAGGAAUACCCGCUGAACUUAAGCAUAUCAAUAAGCGGAGGA
rnacentral:misc_RNA from 1 species